rnacentral:hammerhead_ribozyme from 1 species
GUACUGAUGAAGGGUCCCAAAGUAGGACGAAACAGUCGUCCAGUAC